CUUGCACUACAUCAGUUUUUGAUGACGCAGUACACAAAAAAAUACACUUCGUAAAACGUAUUUCCGGGAACGGUUGUUUUUGUCGGGGACGAAUUGUAUAGGUACAGCUCUUUUAAAAAAGAGGAAGAAAACUAUUGAAAGAGAUCUUAAUCUUUAAAACGUUUUUGAAAGGGAGAUAUUGAUUACUAAAAAAAGAACAAAGUUACAUUGAGAGCAACAAGACGGCAAUGAAAUAUGGACACGCCCACGGAGUCGGCAAACAGAAAUGUGUGUUUACUAACUUUAGGUGACAUGACGGAUGGACAGCUUGAAAAUAUAAGUAAAGAACAUUGUUAUAGCAGAGGUCUAAAACGUAAAUACUUGGAACUACAUGAUGAUGUAGAUGGUCAACAAGAACAUAACCAGUCUUUGUCACCAGCAGAUGAUUGCUUUGAUGACAACUAUGAUGCAUGUCAAUCAGAGAUUGAAAGUGAAAAAGAUGAGGAUGAGGAAGAAGAGGAGGGGCUCUUGGAGGUCGCAGGAUUGUAGAGUUGAGUGUUUUGGCUGCAAAAUUAGGUGAAGGCUGCAGUAAUUGCUCUACAGAGCUAAAACUUUCAUCCUGUGUUGGAGAAACCAGAUAUGGCCUAGGCAGUCUCCUCAAAAUUCAUUGCAAUAAUUGCAAUGAAAUUAAUAAUGUACCUACUGGCAAGAGACAUGGUCAAAAUACAUGGGAUAUUAAUACCAAAUUGGGUGCAGCUGUGGUAUUUUGUGGACUUGGAGAAAUGACCGUUAACAGUUUCCUUGCUGCUUUGAAUAUUCCCACUGUAACUUCUGUAACUUUUAAGAGACGAGAGAGGGAGGUUGGCAGUAUUUUUGAAGCUGUUGCAAAUGAGACUUGUAAUGAAGCCCUUGCCGAGGAGAAAAAAGGGUUCAGUAAAAAU